AAAAAAAAAAAAAAAAAAAAAAAAGCAGGAAUUCCAUCUUUGCUGGGAGAAGCGGCAAAUCUUCUGAUUCAAUCCCUUCUCCGCGGAGAGAGCUUCCUUUCAGCCGCUGCCCGUUCAGCUCUCGCUUUCCAAUUAACCGGGGAAAACUAUCAAGGAAGCAGGUCAGAAUUCCAAGAAAAGAUGCCGGCAAUUACGACACCGAAUCCCAUUGUAAACGCUAACCUCUUUACCGCCUCGCGAACCACCCUCCCGGAGAACGCCCAUCGGCUUCUCGCCUUCUGCCCUCCCCCUUUCUCCCAAUUCCUUUCUCGUCCCCAAACCCUAGCUUUCUCCCUUAGGAGGAGGAAGAGGAGGAGGGGAACCCUAGUCUCCUCGAAACCCUCGUCGGCGGAGCUCUCCGCCGCCGAGGAGGAGUGGCUCAAGAAGCUCCCGGACAAGAAGAAGCCGCUCUACUCCCACAGCCUCCCUUGUAUAGAGGCGUGGCUGAAGAAUUUAGGGUUCUAUCAGAGCCGCGAGGACCGGGCGGUGUGGUUCGUGGAGAAGCCCAAUUGGCACGCCCAGCUCUCCCUCGAUGUCACCGAUCUCUACAUAAGGUACCUGAAGAGUGGACCUGGAGAUCUUGAGAAGGAUGUGGAGAGGAGAUUUAGCUAUGCAUUGAGUAGAGAGGACAUUGAGAAUGCUAUAAUUGGUGGACCAUGAAGACAAAUUGGGUCGGUGAUGUAUAGAUGGAUUUCCUCGUAAGUCAAGCUAGGCCUUGCAGUUGUCGAGAAUUUGGACUAUUUUGGGGUGUCAAAGUGACCCAAGUUCAUCCAACAAGUAGCACCUAUUGUUUCUGAAUCUUCCUCGCCCAGAAUCAGCCCACACUUCUUCCCCAACUUUGCAAGGUCUCCUGCUGUGAGAGAGUUGAUGAACAAAGUAUCUUCUUCUUUCAGCCAGCUUUCUUCCAACCCAAGGGAUUUGAUCUUCUUGCUUCGAAGACGGACACUUCGUUUUGCACUUGCUGAAGAUUGCAGAACUGGUGUCGGCUGUGGAAGACUGAUAGCUGAGGGCUUGGCACGAGCUGUAGGGCUGAGGACUGCCCACAAAGACUGGCACACUCGAGAUACUGCAACUAAAUCAUGCGAACUCUGUGAAGAAGGUUUUUGUAACGGCUGUCAGUGUGGGGGUGUUAGAGGUUUUUAGAUCCAUCCGACCAGUGGUCUCACAGGAUGAUUUAGUGAUCUCAAAGGACAGAACAGGGAUUCGUUUGGCUAGGUAGAGGUGCCUGUUCCUAACUUUGCUUGAGAACGUUAAGUCCCAGCUUCCAAAAUCCUGUAGGAAUGAAAAGACUAGGAGGGGCCGUGUUUAAUGAGAUAGCAGAACUACUAUAUCUUUGAAUAUCGGUUAAUUUUGAAAUAGUUUCAUGAUUUACACAUA